rnacentral:rRNA from 1 species
AUUGAACGCUGGCGGCAGGCCUAACACAUGCCAGUCGAGCGGAUGAAGGGAGCUUGCUCCUGGAUUCAGCGGCGGACGGGUGAGUAAUUCCUAGGAAUCUGCCUGGUAGUGGGGGAUAACGUCCGGAAACGGGCGCUAAUACCGCAUACGUCCUGAGGGAGAAAGUGGGGGAUCUUCGGACCUCACGCUAUCAGAUGAGCCUAGGUCGGAUUAGCUAGUUGGUGGGGUAAAGGCCUACCAAGGCGACGAUCCGUAACUGGUCUGAGAGGAUGAUCAGUCACACUGGAACUGAGACACGGUCCAGACUCCUACGGGAGGCAGCAGUGGGGAAUAUUGGACAAUGGGCGAAAGCCUGAUCCAGCCAUGCCGCGUGUGUGAAGAAGGUCUUCGGAUUGUAAAGCACUUUAAGUUGGGAAGAAGGGCAGUAAGUUAAUACCUUGCUGUUUUGACGUUACCAACAGAAUAAGCACCGGCUAACUUCGUG